rnacentral:snRNA from 8 species
AUACUUACCCUGGCAAGAGAGACACCGUGAUCAAGAAGGCGGUUUCACCCAGGACGAGGCUCAGCCAUUGCACUCCGGCUGUGCUGACCCCUGCGAAUUUCCCAAAUGUGGACAUC